rnacentral:lncRNA from 1 species
GGCAGGUGAGGCCGCGUGGGGCCAGCGGCGGCUCCUUGCUGGUCUGUGGCUCUGGGCCCAAGACCCGAGCCUCCUACAGGGGCGGCCCCCUGCCUGAGGCGCGGGUGGGUUCCGACCUCCGAGAGCCGGUCUGGAAGCACUGAGGGGCCCCUACUUUUGCCCCCGAAGUCAGCGGGGCAACAGCCGCUCCCUUGCAGGAGCCGGGCCGUGGGCGGAGGGCCCCGGUGGGUGAGAUCGGUGACCCCCGAAAACUCCGACCAAAGAGCUGCAGCAAGAAAGGAGUUGGUUCCCACAAACCGCCCAGAGUCAAGUUCUGGAGGCUGAGAAGUUCAAGAUCAAGGUGCUGGCAGAUUUGACGUCUGGAAGAUAUGCUCCAUCGAAACAUGGAAAUGAAGUAAGAAAGAGCAAGACCUAGAUCCAAGAAACAUAGAGCCGACGAGUCUCCAGGAUGCAUUAAAUGGAGACUCAAGUUGUGAGCAGUACCUGAAAGGAAGCAACAUGUCCAGAAUGGAACAGAUCGCAAAGUUCCAGGAAGGAUUUCUUCAGGAAAAUUAAAUUGAUAGAAUACUUAAUUUGAAUCUCUUGAGGAAACUUGCACACAUUGGGAAGAAUUUGGAUUAAAUUAGCAACAAGUCCAUAAAAAUGGCCACAUCCAUGGAAUAUGGUGAUUCCUAGACUAGGGGUCGAAUCAGAGCUGUAGGCACUGGUCUACGUCACAGCAACACAGGAUCCAAACCACAUCUGUGACCUACACCACAGCUCACAGCAACACUGGAUCCUUAACCCACUGAGCAAGGGCAGGGAUUGAACCCACGUCCUUAUGGAUACUAGUCAUAUUCGUUUACCACUGAGCCACGACAGGAAUUCCUAUAUAAAAUUUUAAAAUAUUUUAAUCCUCCAGCUUUCUGUUCACUUAUUAGUCGUAUAUUCUUUUACUUAUUGUGGUUAUCCUAGAGAUUGUAACUUGUAUCAAUAUAUAAAGUCUAAUAUAAAUUAGCACUUUUAUCUCUUCCUGGACAAUUUAAAGACUUUUGAAAAAUCCUGUUUACCAUUCUUACAGUUUUCUAUUGUUGUCAUAUAUUUUAAUUAUCUCUAUAUUUUAAUCUCCACAAUACAUUUUGACAGUUGUUUUCUGCAAUCAGUUUUGACCUGGUUUACUCACGUAUUUAUCUGUUUUUUUGCUCUUCAUUCCUCUACAUUUCUAAAUUUCCACUGCAAUAAUUUUCCUUCUGCUUAAUGAACAUCAGCUAAUCUCAUUUUUUUCUCCAAGAAUCUGUUUAUCUUACUUCCUUUUUUAAAUAAUGCUUUUUCUGGGAAUAGAAUUCUAGGCUGGGAUUUUUUUUCUUUUUCUUUUCUUUUCUUUCUUUUUUUUUUUUUUUUUUUUUUUUUUUUUUUUUUUUUUUUUUUNAAAAUAUUGUUUCAUUGUCUUCCAGCUUCCACUGCUUUUGUUAACUGGAUGUUCCUUUGAAGACAAUCUGUCAUUUUUCUCUUUCUCUUUGUCCUUGUAUUUAGUACUUAUAUUGAUAUGCCUAGGCCUGUAUGUGUGUGAAUUUUAUCUUGUAUGUAAUUUAUAAUAUGACUGAAUCUGUAGCUUGGCAUAUUUCAUCAUUUUUAGAAAAAAAUUAAAGCAUUAUUUCUUCAAAUAUUACUUCUGUCCAAUUUUCCUUCUUCGCCCCAUGUCUUCUGUAUUUCUUGCAGAAAGAACAAGCUACAAGAAAGAACAGAAAAAAAAUAUAUUCUUUUUUACUCUUUUUCUUUAUUGCUUCCUUUAGGAUGUUUUUAUCUGAUCUGUCUUCCAAUUCACUAAUUCUCUUUUCAACUAUUUUUAUUCUAUUGUUAGAUCUAUUCAUUGGGGUUUUCAUAAAAGUUACUGUUUUCACUUUUCAGAAUUUUUCUAUUCUUUCUUAUAGCUUCCAGUUCUUUAUUAGAAUUCUGUCUUGAGAAUUUUUUUUGAACAUAUGAAGUGUAAUAAUUUAAAGUCUAUCUUUGAUAAUUCUAUCAUUUUGAUCUCUAUUUUCACUUUUUCUUGUUUUUCAUCAUGUUUUCAUAUGAUUGGUUAUCUUUUUUUUCAGGGGCACACCCACAGCAUAUGAAAGUUCCCAGACUAGAGGUCAAAUCAGAGCUGCAGCUCACAGCAACACUGGAUCCUUAACACGCUGAAUAGGGCCAGGGAUCAAACCCACAUCUUCAUGGACACUAGUCAGGUUUGUUACCGCAGAGCCACAGUGGGAAUACCUGCUUGGUUAUCUUUUAUUGAAUGCCAGGCAUUUUUAUGUGAAAGCUUGUGCGGAUACUUUGAGGUCUAAAAUGAGGUUGUCCUGCUCCAAUGAAAAUUUGAGUUUCUUUCUAGAAGAUUGCUAAAGGCAUUGGCAAUAUUGGAUUGCCUUAAUCCCUUAGAGGGCUGAGAAAAUUCCAGCUGAGCCUUCAUCUCUGAGGGCUUGUCUAUUUCCAGCUCAUUCUUUACUCCUAGGAUUUAGCAUUUAUGAUCUCAGUCUAAAAAACCUGGAGGAUAUCCUAAACACCCUCCUCAUUGGUGAAGACUGAAGUCCAGUUUGGUCUGUUGGUCUUAUAUGUCUACAAGAAGCUUUGAUCAUCUAUUUAGUCACCUCUUCCAAAAUCAGCAGAUGAAUGAGAGGAAUAUAGCCUCAAAUUCCUUACGUCUCUAGGUUUCUUUCCCUGAUAAUGUUCUCACUAUUUUUUACUGUUUUGUUAUCUCUUUGAUAAUUUCAAGCAGAUUUUUGAAAAUAUUUUUGCUAAGCGUUUCAGCACGUUCUUAGUGAAAAGAUUGGUCCCAAUUAGAAAGUUUGCCAUUAAAUACGGCCCACAGAGAUAAUUUUAAUCUACCACUCUUCUGUAUCCUUUAUGCAGGAAUACAUAUAGAUGCAAUAAAGUUUUAUAAAGGAAUGACAAACAAAAGAUUCAGGACCAUGGUUAACUUAGAUAAAGGGAGGGAGAAAGGUGGAUUGGUUGUGGAUAGGGAGAAAAAAGAAUUAUGUAAGAAAGAAAAUAUAAUCAUAGUUUAUUAUGUGGUGAUAACAUUUAAUAGUGUAAGUACUGAGUAGUGAUCUAACUGAAAUCAUGAUAGGGCCAAAUUUGGGGAUUAAAAGUAUGUAUUUGUGUGGAGACACAGAGAGCAAGAGAUAACUGGAUCCUCAUCUUCUGUAUUGGGAAAUCAAUAGAUAACGCCUAAAAUGGGAACUAAGAAAGUAAACAAGAGAAUAUGCUACAAGAGUUCAAAAUGAUUGCCUGGAGAUGUGUUGUGGGAUUGGGAGUGAGAAAUGAAGUUUAUGGUAUGGUUUUUAAAGCUUCUUGACUCUUUAAACUUUUUAUAAAAAUCUCUAACUUUGGGAGUUCCCCUCAUGGCACAAUGGAAACGAAUCUGACUAGGAACCAUGAGGUACCAGGUUCUAUCCCUGGCCUCGCUCAGUAGGUUAAGGAUCCAGUGUUGCCAUGAGCUGUGGUGUAAGCGAAAGAUGUGGCUCAGAUCUGGCAUUGCUCUGGCUCUGGCAUAGGCCAGCAGCAACAGCUCUGAUUAGACCCUUAGCCUGGGAACCUCCAUAUGCCGCAGGUGUGGCCUUAAAAAGAAAAAGGAAAAAAAAAAAAAA